rnacentral:rRNA from 1 species
GACGAACGCUGGCGGCGUGCUUAACACAUGCAAGUCGAACGGAAAGGCCCUGCUUUUGUGGGGUGCUCGAGUGGCGAACGGGUGAGUAACACGUGAGUAUCCUGCCCUUGACUUUGGGAUAACUUCAGGAAACUGGGGCUAAUACCGGAUAGGAGCUCUUGCUGCAUGGUGGGGGUUGGAGAGUUUCGGCGGUUGGGGAUGGACUCGCGGCUUAUCAGCUUGUUGGUGGGGUAGUGGCAUACCAAGGCUUUGACGGGUAGCCGGCCUGGGAGGGGGAACGGCCACCUUGGGACUGAGGUACGGCCCAGACUCCUACCGGAGGCAGCAGGGGGGAAUAUGGCGCAGUAGGCGGAAGCCUGAGGCAGCAACGCCGCGAGCGGGAUGACGGCCUUCGAGGUGUGAACCGCUUUCGCCGGUGACGAGGCGUGAGUGACGGUAAUGGGUAAAGAAGCACCGGCUAACUACGUG